AUGGUUACCCAUCUCCUCUUUGCGGAUGACAACAUUAUCUUUCUUGAAGGAUCAGAGGAAAAUCUCCUCACUCUCAAAUCGAUCUUGGGGGAUUAUGAGAUGGCGUCGGGGCAGAAAGUAAACAUGCAAAAGUCGGCCAUAUUUUUCGGGAAGGGGAGUUCGGAUGAGAGCAAAGAGCAGCUUAAGGCGGUCAUCGGAAUCAAUUCAGAAGCAUUGAGUGAGAAAUAUUUGGGUCUACCUACUGCGGUGGGCAAGUCCAAAGAUGGUACUUUCAAAUAUGUUCGGGAGAGUGCAAAGGGAAAAGUC
rnacentral:rRNA from 1 species